AAGGCUUUAGCUUAAUUAAAGUGCCUAAUUUGCAAAUAGGAGAUGCGGGUUAAAGUUUUCCGUAAGUCUUA
rnacentral:tRNA from 1 species